GCCAGACCGUGCACAAGUCUCCUGGAAUGGAGCGUCAUAGAGGGUGAGAAUCCCGUCUUUGGCACGGACGCCUGGUGCUUUGUGAUGCGCUCUCGAAGAGUCGAGUUGUUUGGGAAUGCAGCUCAAAAUGGGUGGUGAACUCCAUCUAAAGCUAAAUAUUGGCGAGAGACCGAUAGCGAACAAGUACCGUGAGGGAAAGAUGAAAAGCACUUUGGAAAGAGAGUGAAACAGUACGUGAAAUUGUUGAAAGGGAAACGCUUGGAGUCAGUCGCGUUGACCGAGACUCAGCCUUGCCUCGGCAUGGUGUACUUCUCGGAUCGACGGGUCAGCGUCAAUUUUGCCCCUCGGAUAAUGACAAGGGAAAGGUGGCACCUUUGGGUGUGUUAUAGUCUCCUGUCGGACACGAGGGGUGGGAUUGAGGAACUCAGCUUCGCGCUUAGGACGCUGGCGUAAUGGCUUUAAACGACCCGUCUUGAAACACGGACCAAGGAGUCCAACAUGCCCGCGAGUGUUCGGGUGGAAAACCCGUGCGCGUAAUGAAAGUAAAAGUUGGGACCUCUGUCGUGGAGGGCACCGACGCCCGGACCAGACCUUCUGUGACGGAUCUGCGGUAGAGCGUGCAUGUUGGGACCCGAAAGAUGGUGAACUAUGCCUGAAUAGGGUGAAGCCAGAGGAAACUCUGGUGGAGGCUCGUAGCGAUUCUGACGUGCAAAUCGAUCGUCAAAUUUGGGUAUAGGGGCGAAAGACUAAUCGAACCAUCUAGUAGCUGGUUCCUG
rnacentral:rRNA from 1 species